rnacentral:rRNA from 1 species
GAUGAACGCUAGCGGCAGGCCUAAUACAUGCAAGUCGGACGGGAUCCAUCGGAGAGCUUGCUCGAAAAUGGUGAGAGUGGCGCACGGGUGCGUAACGCGUGAGCAACCUACCUCUAUCAGGGGGAUAGCCUCUCGAAAGAGAGAUUAACACCGCAUAAUAUAAUCUUCCGGCAUCGUUAGAUUAUUAAAUAUUUAUAGGAUAGAGAUGGGCUCGCGUGACAUUAGCUAGUUGGUAAGGUAACGGCUUACCAAGGCGACGAUGUCUAGGGGCUCUGAGAGGAGAAUCCCCCACACUGGUACUGAGACACGGACCAGACUCCUACGGGAGGCAGCAGUAAGGAAUAUUGGUCAAUGGGCGGAAGCCUGAACCAGCCAUGCCGCGUGCAGGACGACUGCCCUAUGGGUUGUAAACUGCUUUUGUCCAGGAAUAAACCUAAAUACGUGUAUUUAGCUGAAUGUACUGGAAGAAUAAGGAUCGGCUAACUCCGUGCCAGCCGCCGCUGUAACAC